rnacentral:misc_RNA from 1 species
CGUAGGUGAACCUGCGGAAGGAUCAUUAUUGUAUAACCGAGGUGCGAGGGCUGUCGAUGAGCCGAAAGGUAGUGCACGCCCGAGUGCCCUCACCCACCUCCAUCUCACCCCUAUGUGCACCACCGCGUGGGUCCCGCUUUGGCUUGUUCGGAGGGGGGCUUACGUUUUCACACAAACUUUGUAUGCAGUGUAGAAUGUAUUUUUUGUUUUUGCGAUCACGCAAUCAGUACAACUUUCAACAACGGAUCUCUUGGCUCUC